CGAAAACCAACAGCCGCCGCCCAGAUCAAUACCCCCACCCACGGCCGCCGCGGUCGCCGUUGCUGCUCCCCCAAACCCCAGCCGGCGACCCCUCCCAUACUCUCCACUCCAUGGCCGCGGAUCCGCUCGAGCUGCUCAGCCCGGGGUCAGAUCCGCCCUCCCUUCAUUAGGCCCCGCGCUGGAAACCCUAGCCGCCCGGCCAUGGUGACCGACGGCGACGACGCCGGCGGUUGGUGAUGGGACUACCACUUCUGCCAUCCUUGCUCAAGGAUGAUUACCAAGGGUCUUAAGAUUGUAGCUGUUCAUGCUAAUCCAGUACAGAUUACUCUCCCCAAUUCCGCUGCCACAUCCAAGAGUUCGAGCGCACAAGUGCAAGCGCCACUCUGACCCCC